rfam:Ictidomys tridecemlineatus contig021896, whole genome shotgun sequence.
GGGGCUGGGGCUCAGUGGCGGAGCGCUUGCCUCACACGGAAGAGGCCCUGGGUUCGAUCCUCAGCACCACCU